rfam:Vitis vinifera, whole genome shotgun sequence of line PN40024, unoriented chromosome 18, chr18
GGGCAGUGAUGAGAUUGAAGAAAGUCAUGCACCACUCUGAUUGAUCAAAUCUGUGCUGAUAAAUCUUUCUUACCCAUUUUUUUUCUGAGCCC